AUAGUUUAGUGUAGGGAGUUCUCGGUUUAAGACGGUCUCUAUCUAAGACGUUUCGACUUUACAACACCCAAGUCUUGUCGCCAUUAUGGGCCCAGCACCAUAAUGUUUCGGCUUAGCUCAUGCAUAUGGCUUAUCUGUGUUUGUGCGCUGAGAGUUUAUUUGCCCUUUUCGCAUUAUGGCCCAAAAGAAGAAAGCUCUUUUUUUUUUUGGGGGGGGGGGGGACUGUGGAACCAAAGCUUAACAUCAUAAAAUAAAAAAUAGAAAAAAGACGGAGAAAGGAUUAACACCGACGGACAUGACUGGCAUAAGGACUUGGGCUUCAGACGGAUGACCGUAGCGAUUAUUAUUAAGGACAAAGCCUGUAUUUUAGCGCACAUGAAGGGUUUCACUCCAAUGAGGGACACAGAGUACACAAAGCAACUUUUUUUGAGUAGGAAAAAAAAAACGGAGCAACGUUCUUCGAUCGUUGCUGAGAUGGAAAGAUUACUAACGUUAUGGAUCGAGGAUCUGAAUGAACGUAGGCCUAAUAUCAGCCUCAUGUUCAUUGAGGGAAAAGGCACGGCGUAUUUGCCUAACUAUGAAAGAGCAGAAAGGAGAGGACGCCGAGGAGGAAUUUACCGCUAGCAACGGGCUACGUGCACUUGGUUACUUAGCAAUAGCUGAGCGCAGGCUGACUUCAUUCUUCACCAUCCCAGCCUCCCUUCCCUAAUAGACGACAGCUAAGUGUGGAGCAACACUUUGAUUGUUCCUGUGAAGUCCACUCGGCGGCUAUCGGGCCCAUCUUGCUCUGGAUGUGGCCGGUUCUACUUACAAGUGCCAUAGUUGUGAUCAAUCCCUUAGCCAGAAGCCUUGGAUGUGGCAGUAGGCCUCCAGGCUGGAGAAGAGGAUGUAGAGAAACCACAGGCCUAGAAAAAGAAGGCUGGUGAGGCUGCGGGAUAGUCGAGACCCCCCCAGCUCGCCUCCGAUAGAGGGCCGGCGACGGA